CCCUUAGAUGUUCUGGGCCGCACACGCGCUACACUGAAGGAGGCAGCGUGUACUCCUGGAUCGAAAGAUUUGGGUAACCCGCGAAUCUCCUUCGUGCUAGGGAUUGAGGUUUGCAAUUAUCCUUCAUGAACGAGGAAUUCCCAGUAAGUGCAAGUCAUAAGCUUGCGCUGACUACGUCCCUGCCCUUUGUACACACCGCCCGUCGCUACUACCGAUUGAAUGAUUUAGUGAGGACUUCGGACUGGGACCGAUGCGGCUUUCGGGCUGCGUCGGUAUUCUGGAAAAAUGUCCAAACUGUAUCAUUUAGAGGAAGUAAAAGUCGUAACA
rnacentral:rRNA from 1 species